rnacentral:rRNA from 1 species
UACAGAGGAGCCAAGCGUUGUCCGGAUUCAUUGGGCGUAAAGAGCGCGCAGGCGGCUUGGUAAGUCGGAUGUGAAAUCCCGAGGCUCAACCUCGGGUCUGCAUCCGAUACUGCCCGGCUAGAGGUAGGUAGGGGAGAUCGGAAUUCCUGGUGUAGCGGUGAAAUGCGCAGAUAUCAGGAGGAACACCGGUGGCGAAGGCGGAUCUCUGGGCCUUACCUGACGCUCAGGCGCGAAAGCUAGGGGAGCGAACUGG